GAAUUCGCCCUUAGAGUUUGAUCCUGGCUCAGGAUGAACGCUGACAGAAUGCUUAACACAUGCAAGUCGAUUCGAUUUACCUUCGGGUAUUGAGGAUGGCGGACGGGUGAGUAACGCGUAAGGAACUUGCCUCUUGGACUGGGACAACUGUUGGAAACGACAGCUAAUACCGGAUAUUAUGAGAUUCUCGCAUGAGAAACUUAUGAAAGCUAUAUGCGCCAAGAGAGAGCCUUGCGUUCCAUUAGCUAGUUGGUGGGGUAAUGGCCCACCAAGGCGACGAUGGAUAGCCGGCCUGAGAGGGUGAACGGCCACAAGGGGACUGAGACACGGCCCUUACUCCUACGGGAGGCAGCAGUGGGGAAUAUUGGACAAUGGGCCACAAGCCUGAUCCAGCAAUUCUGUGUGCACGAUGAAGGUCUUCGGAUUGUAAAGUGCUUUCAGUUGGGAAGAAGAAAGUGACGGUACCAACAGAAGAAGCGACGGCUAAAUACGUGCCAGCAGCCGCGGUAAUACGUAUGUCGCAAGCGUUAUCCGGAUUUAUUGGGCGUAAAGCGCGUCUAGGCGGAAAAAUAAGUCUGAUGUUAAAAUGCGGGGCUCAACUCCGUAUUGCGUUGGAAACUGUUUUUCUAGAGUACUGGAGAGGUGGGCGGAACUACAAGUGUAGAGGUGAAAUUCGUAGAUAUUUGUAGGAAUGCCGAUGGAGAAGUCAGCUCACUGGACAGAUACUGACGCUGAAGCGCGAAAGCGUGGGGAGCAAACAGGAUUAGAUACCCUGGUAGUCCACGCCGUAA
rnacentral:rRNA from 1 species